UAGCUCAGCUGGGAGAGCGCCUGCUUUGCACGCAGGAGGUCAGCGGUUCGAUCCCGCU
rnacentral:tRNA from 3 species